UUAUCACCUUCCAAGUUCUAACAAUGGCUUCCUGAAUCCGAUGCUGGAGCUCCAUCGCCACAACCGUCAACCCCAAAGAUCACAUCACGAAGCUUGCUCCUUCCAUCCUCUUCCUCUCUCUCAGCUUCUCCUCUUUUCUUAGUCCUGCCACUGCUAGAGGCGGCCUUCACAGUUCCUACCCUCCAGGUGCCAAACGGUAGUUAAUUGUGAUCAGAUAGAUUAUCACGCCUGUUGCUUUCUUAAAAUCUUUACAGUUAAGGUUUCGAAUUUGGUCCUCGCGCUGGUUCCAGCAGGCAAUUGUUUGAAGUUAAUGAGUCUCAGACGCGGCAUUUAUCACUAAAGUUGAAGUUUAGUAGCUUAACAUGAAUUAUGUAAUCUAACUUGAUAUACUUAUGUGUUUACUGAAAUUGUGAAAAAUUGUGACAGUCUUGAUGUGGCUCAAGGUCAAGGGUACAUGACUAACUUUGACCUGGAACGGGCUAUUAAGGCGUUCAGCCAAAGAUGCAGUAACAUUUCUAGGGUUUACAGGUGAUUACGUGGGCUUGUGCAUUUUUAACAUUUACCAGAUUAUAAGUUUACCACUCGUUAGUAUAUGAAAUAAAACAAUGGUAUUUGUUAGUAGUAGUUUGAUAGUUUGAGCUGGAUAAGUGCAGGAUUUUUACUGUAGAAUUUUUGUUUGUGCAUCUCAUGAUGAUUAUGCUGAUUUAAUCUCAUGAAUAUUAAUUUAUCCAAAUUGCAUCCAAGCUGCUAUUUGGUAAAAACUUUUGAAUCCUGAAAUUUUAAUCCGUCCUAUAUACAAUCAAUUUUUUGGAACAUGGCAGGAUUUUUGAAGGAAAACGCAGUAGUGUCCCCCCUUCCUCUCUGUAUAUAAUAACGUAGAAAUUAUAUUUGUUCCAUAACCCCGAAAAAGUUAUUAUUCAAAAGAACAGGAAUCUGCUUUGACUCUGUCGAGAUUAGCACAAAUUAGUCCUUGCAGCUGGUUGAAACUGAAUUUAACCAUAGAGCUGUGUAAUAAGGAUGCAGACACCAGUAUCUGAAAUCUUUUUGCAACAAUAACGCUGAAUAAGGGUCAGAAACUUAAAUAUAGGAAGUUUACAUUGAUUGCCCAUUAGUGGAAGUUAAAAAAGUGCGACACCUUUGAAUCCAGAAGGGUGCAGUACCUAUUUACCACCAAUUUGAGUUGAUUCUGGUAUUGGAGAAUAUCCAUCUGCAGUCUUUAUAAAAGUUUUAUUCAUUCCGCUAGUUCAAUUAUGUUACUAUGAGCCACUUAUGACCACAAGAAACUUAUAAUGAAACUGAGAAGCUGUAGUAUGAAAAAGAUUAUAACUUAUAAGUACAUGCCAAAAGAUUGAAGUGUAGUAUUUCGCGUUUACUGUUGAAAAAUGAAGUCAUGAAUUUCACUUUUUGUAGAAAAAGUUUUACGUACUACCCGGAUUUCAGUUUAUUGAGUGUUUGUAUAGGUGACAGUGUAGUAUUUUAGUAUUCGGUGUGCUACAUGAAAGCUUUCUUUUGUUUCUUUUCCGUUCCCCUGAAUGUAAAUCGAUUGUUACUUAUUUAUGCAAUUUCAAGUGAUAGUUUGAACAUUUUUAAAAAAAAUAUGCUGGGUGCAGCAGUGCAUUGGAAAUGUGCAUGGAGAUGAACCUGUAGGCUGUGAGCUUCUAAUUCUACUUGCAAAUUGGAUAUGUCUAAUUAUUGUUCUGUAACUCUUUAGUGUUAUAACCUACUUUGCUUUGUAAUUUAUGGCAAUUUUAAGUUACUUCAUUCUUAAAUUUUUGUCUUUUGCUAUUUUCAAUGUUUUCCCUCGUUACUCUUAUUUUCAUCUUUUUGUUCCUGUUUUGACAUAUCUACUUUGCAAUUGCAAAUAAAACUAUUUUCAGACUUGUUAACGGAAAAGAAGAAAACUAUUUUCAGACUACUUCUGGAAGCUUCCUCAAUUUGCUAGCCAUUUGUGAAUUUUUAACACUUUAAUUGUGAUGUGUAAAGGCUUGGUUGUUGUUGAAGGAUUCACCCUACUUAAUGGCGUCCUAGGAUGCAUACAGCCGACCCCACUUAGCGGGAUAAGGUUUGGUUGUUGUUGUUGUUGUUUGAUUGUGAUGUGUGAUUUUUAGUAGACUGUAGGAAAUUUAAAGAUGUGUUGUACUCAGUUUGAUCCCCCAGUGUGCUUUAGAACUAGAAGAAACCAUCAUUUCAUGAAUGCUUGUGUCUUCUGUAAAAUAAAAUUGAUAUCGUGCCAAAUUAAUUGUAAAUCUUAAUAGUGUGGAGGAAAGAAAUCCUUUCCGCAAGACAUAA